rnacentral:rRNA from 1 species
UUCCGGUUGAUCCCGCCGGACCUGACUGCUAUCGGAUUGAUACUAAGCCAUGCUAGUCUUUGUAGUAAUACAAGGCAUACGGCUCAGUAACGCGUAGUCAACCUACCCUAUGGACGGGGAUAAUCUCGGGAAACUGAGCAUAAUACCCGGCAGACCACUUAUCCUGGAAUGGUUAGUGGUUAAAAUGAUUCGUCGCCAUAGGAUGGGACUGCGGCCUAUCAGCUUGUUGGUGAGGUAAUGGCCCACCAAGGCGAUUACAGGUACGGGCUCUGAGAGGAGAAGCCCGGAGAUGGGUACUGAGACACGGACCCAGGCCCUAUGGGGCGCAGCAGGCGAGAAAACUUUGCAAUGUGCGAAAGCACGACAAGGUUAAUCCGAGUGAUUUCUGCUAAAGAAAUCUUUUGCUAGUCGUAAAACCACUGGUGAAUAAGGGGUGGGCAAGUUCUGGUGUCAGCCGCCGCGGUAAAACCAGCACCUCAAGUGGUCAGGAUGAUUAUUGGGCCUAAAGCAUCCGUAGCCUGCUUUGUAAGUUUUCGGUUAAAUCCAUGUGCUCAACGCAUGGGCUGCCGAAAAUACUGCAUAGCUAGGGAGUGGGAGAGGUAGACGGUACUCAGUAGGUAGGGGUAAAAUCCUUUGAUCUAUUGAUGACCACCUGUGGCGAAGGCGGUCUACCAGAACACGUUCGACGGUGAGGGAUGAAAGCUGGGGGAGCAAACCGGAUUAGAUACCCGGGUAGUCCCAGCUGUAAACGAUGCAGACUCGAUGAUGCAUUGGCAUAAUAGCCAUUGCAGUGUCGCAGGGAAGCCGUUAAGUCUGCCGCCUGGGAAGUACGUACGCAAGUAUGAAACUUAAAGGAAUUGGCGGGGGAGCACCACAAGGGGUGAAGCCUGCGGUUCAAUUGGAUUCAACGCCGGG